rnacentral:tRNA from 1 species
GCGCCUCUAGCUCAAUGGCAGAGCAACGGACUCUUAAUCCGCAGGUUCCGGGUUCGAAUCCCGGGGGGCGUACCA